rfam:Schistosoma haematobium scaffold758_42, whole genome shotgun sequence.
AUUUAGCUGACGAGUCCCAAAUGGGACGAGACGCGCAUUAUAGAU